ensembl:rRNA 5S_rRNA 5S ribosomal RNA
CUUUACGACCACACCGGCCUGAGUACGCCUGAUCUCGUCUGAUCUCGGAAGCUAAGCAGGGUCGGGCCUGGUUAGUACUUGGAUGGGAGACUUCCUGGGAAUACCAGGUGAUGUAAGCU